rnacentral:rRNA from 1 species
UACGAAGGGGGCUAGCGUUGUUCGGAAUUACUGGGCGUAAAGCGCGCGCAGGCGGUCUUCCAAGUCAGUGGUGAAAGCCCGGAGCUCAACUCCGGAACUGCCAUUGAAACUGUGAGACUGGAGUACGAGAGAGGUGAGUGGAAUUCCACGUGUAGCGGUGAAAUGCGUAGAGAUGUGGAGGAACACCAGUGGCGAAGGCGACUCUUUGGUCUGUAACUGACGCUGAGGCGCGAAAGCGUGGGGAGCAAACAGG